AGAGCGCACCCCGAGCGCCGGCGAGCGGCGCGGUGAGACCCUCGUGCAGGUGAGCCCGGCGCACGGCGGCCCAGAAUCCUGGACCCCAGGAGAAGCGUCUACGGCCCCGACAGAGACGGAGUUUCACCAUGUUGGCCAGGAUGGUCUUCAACUUCUAACUUCGUGAUCCACGCUGCUGGGAUUACAGGUGUGAGCCACCGCGUGUGGCCUCUGGGCACCUUUUGAAGGUAGCUGAAGCAGAGAGAGAAGGCGGCAGGCAUCAGCGUUUUCUUCUAUGAACUUAUAAGAUCAAAGACUUUAAGACUUUCACUAUUUCUUCUACCGCUAUCUACUACGAACUUCAAAGAGGAACCAGGAGUACGGAAGGAGCAUGAAAGUGGACAAGGAACGUGACCAUUGAAGCACCACAGGGAGGGGUUCAGGCCUCCGGAUGACUGCAGGCAGGCCUGGGUAACAUCCAGCCUCCCACAAGAAGCUGGUGGAGCAGAGCGUUCCCUGACUCCUCCAAGGAAAGGAGACUCCCUUUCCCGGUCUGCUCAGUAACGGGUGCCUUCCCAGACACUGGCGUUACCGCUUGACCAAGGGGCCCUCAAGCGGCCCUUAUGCGGGCAUGACAGAAGGCUCCCCUCUUGCCUUCUAUUCACUUCUCACAAUGUCCCUUCAGCACCUGACCCUAUACCUGCCGGUUAUUCCUAGGUUAUAUUAUUAAUGCAACAGAGUAAUAUUAAAAGCUAAUGAUUAAUAAUGUUUAUAAUAAUGAUGGAUAAUUGUUCAUGAUCAUCGCUGUAUCUAAUUUGUAUUAUGACUAUUCUUAUUCUAUUUUCUUUAUUAUACUGAAA
rnacentral:lncRNA from 1 species